UACCGUGUGAUGAUGAUUUUGCUAACUAUUCUUUUGCCUUUUAGUAAAGAAUACCGUGUCAGCGUCACAAUAAACGGCAUAUGCUAGUUUUUGUAAGAGUACUCUUUUUUCUGAGCUCU